rnacentral:rRNA from 1 species
GCGGCCUACCAUGCAGUCGAACGGAUCCUUCGGGAUUAGUGGCAGACGGGUGAGUAACGCGUGGGAAGCUACCUUGUGGUAGGGAACAACAGUUGGAAACGACUGCUAAUACCCUAUGAGCCCUAUGGGGGAAAGAUUUAUCGCCAUGAGAUGUGCCCGCGUUAGAUUAGCUAGUUGGUAAGGUAAUGGCUUACCAAGGCGACGAUCUAUAGCUGGUCUGAGAGGAUGAUCAGCCACACUGGGACUGAGACACGGCCCAGACUCCUACGGGAGGCAGCAGUGGGGAAUAUUGGACAAUGGGGGCAACCCUGAUCCAGCCAUGCCGCGUGAGUGAUGACGGCCUUAGGGUUGUAAAGCUCUUUCAGCAGUGAAGAUAAUGACAUUAACUGCAGAAGAAGCCCCGGCUAACUUCGUGCCAGCAGCCGCGGUAAUACGAAGGGGGCUAGCGUUGUUCGGAAUCACUGGGCGUAAAGCGUACGUAGGCGGACUGAUCAGUCAGGGGUGAAAUCCCGGGGCUCAACCCCGGAACUGCCUUUGAUACUGUCAGUCUUGAGAUCGAGAGAGGUGAGUGGAACUCCGAGUGUAGAGGUGAAAUUCGUAGAUAUUCGGAAGAACACCAGUGGCGAAGGCGGCUCACUGGCUCGAUACUGACGCUGAGGUACGAAAGCGUGGGGAGCAAACAGGAUUAGAUACCCCUGGUAGUCCACGCCGUAACGAUGA